AAGUUAGCCAAAGCAGCCCAGGGCCGCCGCCCAGCGCCCCCCAGCCCCGAGGAGAGCCGUCGCGACCGGGGGCUGCCUGGGCAAGGGCGGGGCGAGAGCGCAGAACGCCUGCUCUCGGACAGAUCUGGGGACCCUUCACCUGCCUCUACUACUGCAAAUGAUUGGAUAUUCGUCUGCCUUGGCUCUUCCCUAAUGUGUGGAACUAAUUUUGUUCACUCUGUUUCAUGCUGGACCUGGCCUGAAAAUGGGCCCUUACAUUGUCUUUGCACUUUCCAACUUGCCAAGUUUCUGAAAGAAGGACCAAAGUAAUGCCAAGAACUCCCAGAUGAAGAGGACCUUCCUUAGACCUAUAACAGAUUCACUACUUGACUUCAGAGGGACGUUUCAGCUAAUUCUCAGGAAAAGGUCAAAACAGGCCUGUGACUGUCCCUCGAAUACUGAAGGUAUAAACAAGCUUCUGGCUCCUCCAGGUCAAGCAGAGGAACACUUUUAUUAGAAUGAAGGGUUACUUCUUUGUUAUUCAGACACACACCCACACACAUCCUCUGUAGUCUCCCUAAUGAAAAACCUCAACAGAUGGAGAGCCUGAGCUCCCACGUCCGCAGGCUGAGAAGAUGCACUUCACUCAGGGGCCAGUGGGCUGGUACAGACUAGGGAAAGGAAAAGGGACAAAGGCUGCUAGUAUAGGUAAUCACUAUCUUUUAAUACUCCUAACACAUAGAAAUUUGAAAAAUCUUGUUCAGCAAUGUUAGCAGCCUCUGAAGCCUCGGAAACUAAUUUGGCUGAUGUGUCUCUGAUAGGGAGCUUAGGGCUGCACCGAGGGGAAACAUUCUCCUCCUGUAUUCUCUCCUCUCUCUCAUUUGAAAGCCUGUACAAAGAAAUGGUACAGGUGGAUGGUUAACUUAACGAUUCCAUCAGAGGCAGAUUUUUCUCUGUCAGGUUCCUGGAUGAGGUGGAGGUCUGAAAGCCAGGAGACAGAAUAUGU
rnacentral:antisense_RNA from 1 species